GACGAACGCUGGCGGCGUGCUUAACACAUGCAAGUCGAACGGUAAGGCCCUUCGGGGUACACGAGUGGCGAACGGGUGAGUAACACGUGGGUGAUCUGCCCUGCACUUCGGGAUAAGCCUGGGAAACUGGGUCUAAUACCGGAUAGGACCCUGGGAUGCAUGUCCUGGGGUGGAAAGCUUUUGCGGUGUGGGAUGGGCCCGCGGCCUAUCAGCUUGUUGGUGGGGUGAUGGCCUACCAAGGCGACGACGGGUAGCCGGCCUGAGAGGGUGACCAGCCACACUGGGACUGAGAUACGGCCCAGACUCCUACGGGAGGCAGCAGUGGGGAAUAUUGCACAAUGGGCGCAAGCCUGAUGCAGCGACGCCGCGUGAGGGAUGACGGCCUUCGGGUUGUAAGCCUCUUUCAGCACCGACGAAGCGCAAGUGACGGUAGGUGCAAAAGAAGGACCGGCCAACUACGUGCCAGCAGCCGCGGUAA
rnacentral:rRNA from 1 species